AACGAACGCUGGCGGCAUGCCUAACACAUGCAAGUCGAACGAACCCUUCGGGGUUAGUGGCGCACGGGUGCGUAACACGUGGGAAUCUGCCCUUUGCUUCGGAAUAACAGUUAGAAAUGACUGCUAAUACCGGAUAAUGUCUUCGGACCAAAGAUUUAUCGGCAAAGGAUGAGCCCGCGUAGGAUUAGCUUGUUGGUGAGGUAAAGGCUCACCAAGGCGACGAUCCUUAGCUGGUCUGAGAGGAUGAUCAGCCACACUGGGACUGAGACACGGCCCAGACUCCUACGGGAGGCAGCAGUGGGGAAUAUUGGACAAUGGGCGAAAGCCUGAUCCAGCAAUGCCGCGUGAGUGAUGAAGGCCUUAGGGUUGUAAAGCUCUUUUACCAGGGAUGAUAAUGACAGUACCUGGAGAAUAAGCUCCGGCUAACUCCGUG
rnacentral:rRNA from 1 species